rnacentral:rRNA from 1 species
UACGGGGGGGGCAAGCGUUGUUCGGAAUUACUGGGCGUAAAGCGUGCGCAGGCGGUUGUGCAAGACCGAUGUGAAAUCCCCGGGCUUAACCUGGGAAUGGCAUUGGUGACUGCACGGCUAGAGUGUGUCAGAGGGGGGUAGAAUUCCACGUGUAGCAGUGAAAUGCGUAGAGAUGUGGAGGAAUACCGAUGGCGAAGGCAGCCCCCUGGGAUAACACUGACGCUCAUGCACGAAAGCGUGGGGAGCAAACAGG